rnacentral:misc_RNA from 1 species
UAAUAAGUGUUUUAUGGCACUUUUUAAAUCCAUAUUCACCUUGUGUGCAAUGUCAGUCGAUCUUCUUCAUGGAGAUCGACCAAACAUCAACCUUUAUCUUUUAACUCUUUGUCUUAAAAAUAUUAUGAAUAAACAAUACAAAAUA